UCCUACUGGAGGCUGCAGUGGGGAAUAUUGGGCAAUGGGGGCAACCCUGACCCAGCGACGCCGCGUGGGGGAAGACGGCCUUCGGGUUGUAAACCUCUUUUGUACGGGAAGAAGGAAGUGACGGUACUGUACGAAUAAGUCCCGGCUAACUACGUGCCAGCAGCCGCGGUAAUACGUAGGGGACGAGCGUUGUCCGGAAUUACUGGGCGUAAAGGGCGCGCAGGCUGUGCUGGAAGUCAGCUGUUAAAGGUGGGGGCUUAACCCGGGCAUGCGGUUGAGACUGCGGUGCUGGAGUGCUGAAGAGGCAAGUGGAAUUCCCAGUGUAGCGGUGAAAUGCGUAGAUAUUGGGAAGAACACCGGUGGCGAAGGCGACUUGCUGGGCAGCAACUGACGCUGAGGCGCGAAAGCCAGGGGAGCAAACGGGAUUAGAUACCCCAGUAGUCG
rnacentral:rRNA from 1 species